GUGCUGUUUCUGCGGCUGUCCGAUGGCGGUGGGGAGGGGUCUGUGCUUUGUCAGAAAGGCUUUUUCCCGAAGUCACCUUCUUUGUGGGCCUUAAUUAGAGCCGUCGGAUUAACCACGGUCAUCUGUAGGGGGGUUUAGUUUCGCAGAUGAGACUUUUAGGUGGUCUGGUGGUAUAACCCCGUGAUUGACAGCAAGGAGAAGAGCGCGCUCCUCUCUGCGCCUCUGCUGGGAGGCACUGCAGUCGCGUUGGGCUGUGUUUUGCUUUUAUCUCUUCUUAUUAUUGGCAGUUAAGAGAAAUAAAUUUCUUCUGGCCACGAAAUAGCUGUGGCAGUGGAAAGCGGGGCUGGAAAGGCUUUUGUGUGGAGAGUGGGUAGUUAGAGCCAAUUUGCUGGCAUUUCGGGGAAUGCUAUCAGCUUCUGUAUUUGAGGAAAGCUGCAGAUACACCGCUUUUCCUGUCUUAUAAUUGCAAGAGAAAGAAAACACACAUGAAAUUGUGUGGACGAGGCAAUUCUAAUGUUGCACUGAAAGUGGGAGCUGCCGUCGUAGGUGCUCCUGCCUGUUCUCUGCAUGGUGUGAGAUGUUUGGCGCUCUGGAGAACCCUUUUAUCACUAGAGUGCUUCGUUCCUAAUCGUCACUUUGCUGUUCUUGAAUCAAACAUCCCAUAUCCCAUGGAUUCUCCACAGUCGAAGUGUUUCUGGAUCGUCUGAAUCCUGAUUUUAAGCCGGCAGCCUACUCACGUUUCACUUAAUCUCAUCUAUUUCCAGUGCAUUAGCAUCAUUAUGGCAGGGAGAGCUCAGAAAUGUCAGGUGUAGUGGGAGCAGUCCAGUCAGGCCAAUCUUGGCCUGCUCCUGUCUCCUCCUCACCAUUGCAGCUGGAGGAUGUGAUUCUCUCAGGCUUGCUGGUAUUGCUGUUUGCGUGAUCAGUCUUUAACUCAUUUCUCUCAAAAUGAGCUGGCUUAUUUUAAGCUGCUUAAGGUGUGAUUCCAUGGUGUUUUCAGAUGGUCUAAAUCCCGGCGUUUCCCACCUCCUCUUUGCAUUCCCAGCUCCGCAUAUUCCCAUCUCUGUUCCUGUAGCUGCUGUAAGAGCUCGUGCUGCCUCUUGCUUCAGCAGCAAGGCAUUGCCAACAAGGCUUAUUUGAGCUGUACAGUAUGGAGCUCUCUGUCUUGAUGAAAUACUAUUUAGCACCAUCUAGUAGUCUGAUUGCUGGAUGCUUCUAAGUCAUCAGAUCCUGCCUGGAACACUUACCUGCUUGUUUUUCCGUGUAAGUGUUACAGGUUUGUAAGAGAGACUUCUGGUCAUUGAAAUUAUCUUAAAUAUGAUUGGUUUCAAACAGCUGUGUAUGCUUCUCCUUUAGGGACAUGGAUGUCAGGCCACAAAAUGUGUGAUAGGCAAGGCCACAAAAUGAGCAUCAGGGCUGUGCAUCCCUGAAGUUGAAUUUCACAGCUGGAGGAGUAGUUUGAAGAUGAGGUGACGGUCUUCCAGCAUGGUUAUGUGAAUUACAGAACCUAAACCAUGGCUUACACAAGUGAUUUUCCUUGGAAAAUAAAUACCUGCUUUUGAAAAUAUCUGAACGUGCAGAAAUGAAGUGAGGAAAUGUGGUAGUUGCCAGUCAGGCUGGGCUUUCCUUUGUUUACUGUGUUCAUCAGCCUGAGCCUGGUGCGAAGCACAGCAGUCAUUUGAAUACAAUGUGCAUGAGCCAGCUGGCAGCAUUGUCUGUUAGGCUAGUCAGCAGCAGGAUUCUCUCUUUUACUUAGGUGAUGCUCUGAUCUUUUUUCAGAGUUUAUAUUGGAGCAGUUCUCAAAGGCCCUAGAAAUGAAGCAGAAAUGAUCUGCUCCACAGAGAUUUAUGAAGAAAUUGUCACGACUCUUACUUCCCCUCUCUGCUCCUCUGGUACAAACUGUGCCACAGAGCAGCAAAGAAUUGAAUCUUUUCAAAAGCAGGUGCAUGAGGAAAGUUGUUUUUUUCUUUUACUUACUUGGGAGAGAAGGAAGGAGGGAGAGGAAGAAAAGGAAAGAUGGGGCCUGGGAUUUGUAAGACUAUAUCAGUACUUGAAGGAAUCAUUGAAUAAAGCACCUCACAUACAUCUUGUUCAUCCUCUGGCACUUCUAGCAAAGCAGUAGCUGUGACUGCAGUAUGUGAAGUGGCUGAUGCUACAGGUUAAGCAGGAAGUACUUACUGGGUCUUGCUCCUCAGAGAAAGAUGUACUUGAGCAAGCUUCUGUAAGCUGCUCAGUUUUGCCCAGGAAUGGAAUUUUUUUUAAUGUAUGUGCCAGUAUUGCACUGCUAUAUAAAAAUGCACUGUGUUGGUUUUCUGAACGUAGUUUGAUCUUCGUAAAUCCACUGAAGUUCUCAUUUAAUCAUGUAUGUACACCUGUUCUCACUAUUAGAGACAUCCAGUUGAUGAUCCUGCAAGACCACUUGAUCCUGCUCUAGUCUCGAGAUAGCUCAAAAGAUGCUGCCUUUUGCACCAAAGAGGCAAUCCAUUUGCCAACUUCUGAUGUUCCCAGAUUGGCAUGCUGCUUUGUGCAACCAGGAUAGAAGAUAGAGGCUUGCACAGCAUGUGUCCUAAUUAUGCAGCAGAUAGAAUAUUUCAUGGGAACGUGAAAACUGGUCUAAAUCUGAAAUAGUAACCUAAAACUAAAGUGUUCAGUGUCAUAAUCAGGCUCCCAAGUUUUCCAAGCUUCCACGCUGAUCCUGCAGUAUUAUGUUAAGCUUUCAUUUCAUAUCCUUCUAGAUAACUCAGUCCAACUUCUUCCAUUAGUCUAGAAAGAAAAUAUAUUGCAUGCCCUGUCUAGUUCUUGAGGGUAACGUAACGGAAUGGCAUAUGCUUCUAGUCUUCAUUUAUUGCCAUCUUCACAGAAUCAUAGAAUCAUAGAAUGGCCUGGGUUGAAAAGGACCACAGUGAUCAUCCAGUUUCAACCCCCCUGCUAUGUGCAGGGUCUCCAACCACCAGACCAGGCUGCCCAGAGCCACAUCCAGCCUGGCCUUGAAUGCCUCCAGGGAUGGGGCAUCCACUACCUCCAGUGCGUCACCACCCCCUGACUGAAAAAUAUCUAAUAUUUUCUAAUAUUUAACCUAAUCUUUUUGGAUGAACUGUUUAAAGAGUACAAAACUAGUGCAGCCAAAGGCCUGUAACUUACUUCUUAUUUUGAAAACUUGAGAAUGAUUUAAAUGAUGCAUAGAUUUUGUUCUGGCUUUGUCCAUGCAUGUUCAAGUUUUAUCUGUGUGGAUUAUAGUUCAUCAAGCUAUUUAGAGCCCCCACUGUUGCCUUUGCUUAUUAAGGCCUAACUUUGUGGUGCCACCCUUGUCCUACCUUAGGCUGCUGAAGAGCAAUCACAGUAAACAUCUCUGCCAGGAGGAUGUGUGCUUCAGUUGCAAGCGUGUACCUAUGCUCUCCAGGUUUUGCAGGAAGAACCAAAGAGCAGAGGAAAUGAGUGUAAUACAACUCACUGUGAUAUGCUGUGAAAAAGGAAUGCAGUUUUACAAAAUCUUCUGUACUGUUGGCUUUAUGCUUUCAGACCCACAUACCCCGAAGCGUCUAAAUAUGUCUGUCCAGAUGGGCUGGCCAAGAUCAUACACAGGAUGAGAAUGUUCUCUGUUACAUCUUCAUUGUUUCUCUGAGUUUCUUCUUGACUGGCGACUUGGCCCCUUUUUUUAAUCUCUGGGAGGAGGUGAUGUUUGGGAUUCAGUGCCUGGUUGUAUAAAUACAUUGUAUUUAUUUGGGUA